UGGGAGCUUGCUCCCGGAUUCAGCGGCGGACGGGUGAGUAAUGCCUAGGAAUCUGCCUGGUAGUGGGGGACAACGUUUCGAAAGGAACGCUAAUACCGCAUACGUCCUACGGGAGAAAGCAGGGGACCUUCGGGCCUUGCGCUAUCAGAUGAGCCUAGGUCGGAUUAGCUAGUUGGUGGGGUAAAGGCCUACCAAGGCGACGAUCCGUAACUGGUCUGAGAGGAUGAUCAGUCACACUGGAACUGAGACACGGUCCAGACUCCUACGGGAGGCAGCAGUGGGGAAUAUUGGACAAUGGGCGAAAGCCUGAUCCAGCCAUGCCGCGUGUGUGAAGAAGGUCUUCGGAUUGUAAAGCACUUUAAGUUGGGAGGAAGGGCAGUAAGUUAAUACCUUGCUGUUUUGACGUUACCAACAGAAUAAGCACCGGCUAACUUCGUGCCAGCAGCCGCGGUAAUACGAAGGGUGCAAGCGUUAAUCGGAAUUACUGGGCGUAAAGCGCGCGUAG
rnacentral:rRNA from 1 species